rnacentral:rRNA from 1 species
AAAUUGAAGAGUUUGAUCAUGGCUCAGAUUGAACGCUGGCGGCAGGCCUAACACAUGCAAGUCGAACGGUAGCACAGAGAGCUUGCUCUCGGGUGACGAGUGGCGGACGGGUGAGUAAUGUCUGGGAAACUGCCUGAUGGAGGGGGAUAACUACUGGAAACGGUGGCUAAUACCGCAUAAUGUCGCAAGACCAAAGAGGGGGACCUUCGGGCCUCUUGCCAUCAGAUGUGCCCAGAUGGGAUUAGCUAGUUGGUGAGGUAACGGCU